AUACGAAGGGGGCUAGCGUUGUUCGGAAUUACUGGGCGUAAAGCGCGCGUAGGCGGACUGAUCAGUUGGGGGUGAAAUCCCAGGGCUUAACCCUGGAACUGCCUCCAAUACUGUCAGUCUUGAGUUCGGGAGAGGUGAGUGGAAUUCCUAGUGUAGAGGUGAAAUUCGUAGAUAUUAGGAAGAACACCAGUGGCGAAGGCGGCUCACUGGCCCGAUACUGACGCUGAGGCGCGAAAGCGUGGGGAGCAAACAGGAUUAGAAACCCCUGUAGUCC
rnacentral:rRNA from 1 species